UCCCUAGCAGGGCUUCCUUCCACUUGUACACAUACCAAAAAAAAGGGCUUGCUGAAUUAAUGAACCACUUCUCUUAUCUAUUUUUCCUGUUAUCUAAUUCCGAGGGGAAAGCUGGGAGCUCUGAGGGAGCUGGGAGACGCAGCUCACAAGCCUCCCUCCCACCCGCUGAGAACAGCCUGGAAUCCCCGGGACUGAGGAACUAAGACUGUCCCUGAGAGUUUGCCUGGCGCCGGUGUGAGGAGCCACUGGGACAUCGCUCCCACCGUGGCAGGACCUGCCCUGCUCCACCCUGUUUCUCCGAGCUCCAUCCGCGGGGGUCUGCGCAGGGGCAGUGCGGGCCACGAGAGCGAGGACCGAGUGUCGCAGAGGGAGGAGGAAUCGUGCCCCAGGCCCAGCGCGGGAGGGAAUUCGAGGGCUGUGUGCGCCAGGAGCCGGCUUACGUUCGGCGCGGGUGACUUUGCAUGUCUAUUCUGGAGCCCUUGAGCGCCAGUCCGCAGAGAAGCGUCUACAGCGCUGAGGAAUUCGUUACACAGGACCAGGGGAGACUUCUGUAGUCCCUUGUCUGGUUCUCUCUCUCUGGGGGCUUCUUGUUCUCGAUUAUAAGACUUUGGGGGUCCCGUGUUUUUUCAGAGGUCGUUGGUUUGGGGGCAUAGCCGGCGGCCGCGGAGGCUGAUUUCCACAGCGUGUCCAGCCGCUCAUCAGCUGGAAAUUGAGGUCGUGGCGCCCGGCAUUGCGCUGCGCUUAAAGCCACCCGCUCGGGUCCCGCUAGGAAAUCAGGGGAACCCCGCGCAGGGAGACCCUCGCUAGUGUCACUGUGAGCUACAUCGUCCACUGUUUAUUAACUAUUUUUUCGGGGAACUAGAGUUCGCUUUCCUCUGUGCAUCACGUCCAGCCUACAACUGCGUCUCUAUUAGGGUACGGACCGGCUCAAGUCCCAGAGGCCCUAAUGGAGCAAGGAAAUGCAACUUAUUCUUGUAUCCUGGAGAGAUUUUUUUUUUAAACGUAC
rnacentral:lncRNA from 1 species